UGGCGCCAACAAAGGGAGGCGAGCGCGCGAGCGUAAGCGAACCCCAAAAAAAGCGCCCCAGUUCGGAUUGUAGUCUGCAACCCGACUACAUGAAGCCGGAAUCGCUAGUAAUCGCGGAUCAGAACGCCGCGGUGAAUACGUUCCCGGGUCUUGUACACACCGCCCGUCACACCAUGGGAGCCAGGAAUGCCCGAAGCGGGUGGCCCAACCGGAAGGGGGGAGCCUUCGAAGGCAGGCCGGGUAACUGGGGUGAAGUCGUAACAAGGUAAC
rnacentral:rRNA from 1 species